UAUGUAAAGGUCAAGGAAUACAUUGGUCAAAACAGAGAGGUUUGUUCAAGAGACAAAAUUGCAAAACAAUUUUUGCAAACACUCAACAAAGACAAUGACAACUAUUUGGCAACGAAGGGAAUUCGUAGCUGCAUUGAUGCCUCAAUAAAGACCAUCUAUCAUUCAAAAAUGUGAAAAACUACGGGAAGCAGAGGAAUGUUUGGGUAUGGCUGCAAAAAAGGUGAUGAUGCUGGAUGAAAAGGAACAAAAAUUGAUAGAGUUUGGUUUGGCAAAGAGUGUUGACACAAACAAUCAAUAUAUUGGAAAUGUUUCUUUCAAAAAGAAGAUGGAGGAGAAAAUGAACACUGAUGUAGAGAAGUUUCCUAAGGACAGUAGUGAGGCAAGUUUUUUGGGUUACAUCGAACCAUUGAUAACCUUGAAUGCAAUAUUGAAUGAAACAUUGGUGUCAAAUUCAGAUUCCUCUUCCAGAUAUGAAAUGCUGACAAAUUUCCAGGUUGCUUUCUAUAUGUUACAGCAAAUUAGACUUCCAUCAGAUGCAGAGUGGAGCACCCUACAAAAACUUACACGGUGAUUUCAUAAUAUGUAUUAUCAACACAGGCCAUCACAUAGAACUUUGUUGCACAGGUGAAAUCAGGGUUUUAAUAAUUUAUCUGCUCCAAUUUUUAGUCAGAUUUCAGUUCAGCGGUCAUUCGGCUAUGUUCUCAGAUUGUCAAAGGCUUUACAUACAUUGCAAGGAAACAUAAGGCGUAAAUACAGAGCCUAUUGGCAGAUUCUCAGGAAGAAGAUGCACUAGGUGCAAGAGUAAAUAUCAGUAAUUUUAAAAAUCAAUCUCCAGGUUAGGCACUCGGGUACCUCACCAAUUCAUCUCUACAGUUCAUUAUUGAUUUUCAAUUGUUGACCAAUAAACAAAAAAUGAAUAUCUUAAGUGUCUCUCUAUUAGUGAGAGAGGUAGGAAGUGAUAUAAAAUUUGUGCCCAUUCCAAUUGAUCUUCCUCAAUUUACCAUAAUUUUAUUUGGUCAUUUAAAAUGUUACUUUGUGGGUGGGUUUGUGCUCGUGGCCACCCCCUUUGUAGUCAAAAGGCCUCUCAGGCAAUAAAACCAUCUUCAUGACCCCAAGCUUUGGCUCGCCUUCUCCAUUUUUCAACUAUUUCAUUAGCAUCUCAUUUCCCUCUAACUGGUGUUCAUUUCCCAGUGAUCGGGCAUGCAACUAGGUGCUGAGGGUUUCAUUGUGUGGUUUUUAUACACCAUGGUGUGUUUGGUUUGUCUUUUUCCACUCAUUUUUUUGUUUAUGUGAGGAGAAUAGAAAACUUUAUUAGUUUCUUGGCUCAAGAUCAGGUAUGUCUUGGUCCCCUCAACAAUAUAAAUGAUUUUCCUUUCUUUAGAGUAUACAAAAACUGGAGGC